UGAUCCUCCCUCCCUCAGGGUUCCGAGCCACGGAGAGUCUGUUACAACUGGUGCUAGCUCAUUCAUUCAACAGAUAUUCUGGGGCACUUACCAUUCACAGUUGCAGGCUACAGGCAAAGGGGCUGUACCCACUUGAGACGAGGAGUGAGUGAUUGGAAAGCGCGUCUCCGACGCAGGGUCCUGAUUGCAUUAGACAAGGGGCAUGAAGACUGAUUAUCGCCGCUGAUUGCGCAGAACCCGGGGCUGGAGGUGCAAGAGCGGCGGCGCCUUCCCGGAAACGACAGCACGGACAGGAGGCUGGUCUCUGGGCCGCUCGGUGCUCAUCGCUAAUCGACGUGCGCGAAGCAGCGGGCAUCGCCUGAGCGUUCCGAACGUCCCUAAUUGUGACUGAGCAGAUGGGCCCCCGAAGAUCACACGUCACCCUAUGUGAAAGGGUUGCUGGUACAUCAUUAAUUAAAACACCUUGGCU